CAGUCGAACGAUGAAGCCCUUCGGGGUGGAUUAGUGGCGAACGGGUGAGUAACACGUGGGCAAUCUGCCCUUCACUCUGGGACAAGCCCUGGAAACGGGGUCUAAUACCGGAUAACACCUGCCCGGGCAUCCGGGUGGGUUAAAAGCUCCGGCGGUGAAGGAUGAGCCCGCGGCCUAUCAGCUUGUUGGUGAGGUAGUGGCUCACCAAGGCGACGACGGGUAGCCGGCCUGAGAGGGCGACCGGCCACACUGGGACUGAGACACGGCCCAGACUCCUACGGGAGGCAGCAGUGGGGAAUAUUGCACAAUGGGCGAAAGCCUGAUGCAGCGACGCCGCGUGAGGGAUGACGGCCUUCGGGUUGUAAACCUCUUUCAGCAGGGAAGAAGCGAAAGUGACGGUACCUGCAGAAGAAGCGCCGGCUAACUACGUGCCAGCAGCCGCGGUAAUACGUAGGGCGCAAGCGUUGUCCGGAAUUAUUGGGCGUAAAGAGCUCGUAGGCGGCUUGUCACGUCGGGUGUGAAAGCCCGGGGCUUAACCCCGGGUCUGCAUUCGAUACGGGCUAGCUAGAGUGUGGUAGGGGAGAUCGGAAUUCCUGGUGUAGCGGUGAAAUGCGCAGAUAUCAGGAGGAACACCGGUGGCGAAGGCGGAUCUCUGGGCCAUUACUGACGCUGAGGAGCGAAAGCGUGGGGAGCGAACAGGAUUAGAUACCCUGGUAGUCCACGCCGUAAACGGUGGGAACUAGGUGUUGGCGACAUUCCACGUCGUCGGUGCCGCAGCUAACGCAUUAAGUUCCCCGCCUGGGAGUACGGCCGCAAGGCUAAAACUCAAAGGAAUUGACGGGGGCCCGCACAAGCAGCGGGAGCAUGUGGGCUUAAUUCGACGCAACGCGAAAGAACCUUACCAAGGCUUGACAUACACCGGAAACGCAUUAGAGAUAGUUCCCCCCCUUGUGGUCGGUGUACAGUGGGUGCAUGGCUGUCGUCAGCUUCGUGUCGUGAGAUGUUGGGUUAGUUCCCGCAACGAGCGCAUCCCUUGUUCUGUGGUUGCCGCAUGCCCUUCGGAUGAUGAGACUUCACAGAAAAACUGCCCGAGUCAACCUCGAAGGAAGG
rnacentral:rRNA from 1 species